rnacentral:rRNA from 1 species
CUACGGAGGGUGCAAGCGUUAUCCGGAUUUAUUGGGUUUAAAGGGUGCGCAGGCGGACCUGUCAGUCAGUGGUGAAAUCCCGGGGCUCAACCCCGGAACUGCCAUUGAUACUACAGGUCUUGAAUACGGUUGAAGUAGGCGGAAUGUAGCAUGUAGCGGUGAAAUGCAUAGAUAUGCUACAGAACACCGAUCGCGAAGGCAGCUUACUAAGCCGAUAUUGACGCUCAGGCACGAAAGCGUGGGUAGCGAACAGGAUUAGAAACCCUAGUAGUCC